CCACCUAGUCUGAUCACAGACCAACUCGCUCUUUCUUUUGAUAACCCAGAUCCAGAGCCAGAGCCAGCUAGGGGGUAAGGGGAGGGGUUGGGCUUAACUAGGGGAGGGGCUUAGGUGGCUCGCCCGAUCCCAAGGAGCGGCGGGCAGGAGAGGAGGUAGGCUGCUCGGGGCGGGCAGGAUAGGAGGGAGGCUACUCGCUGCUGGUCGCUCGCGCCUGUGCUGCGCGGGAUGGCAGGAGGCGGGCCGGAGGAGGUUGGGUCCAGUCCAGCAGUGUGAGCAGCGACGGUGGUCGUUCUGCUUCCCGGGUUGAGCCCACCCCUGGAGCGUUGGUUGCUAGGGCUGGCACGUUGUUCCUUUCCAAGUUCACUUUUUUCUCCUUCUUUCCUCUUAGUCCCAUCCCAAAGUACCGAUCUUCUAUAUAACGACCCAAAACAGAGGCUGGUAGCACAGCACUACUAUAACCCCACCAAAACAGAUUAUGGUAGCACAGUACUACUAUAACACCCCA
rnacentral:rRNA from 1 species